GAGUUUGAUCCUGGCUCAGAUUGAACGCUGGCGGCAUGCCUUACACAUGCAAGUCGAACGGCAGCAUGAUCUAGCUUGCUAGAUUGAUGGCGAGUGGCGAACGGGUGAGUAAUACAUCGGAACGUGCCCUGUAGUGGGGGAUAACUAGUCGAAAGAUUAGCUAAUACCGCAUACGACCUGAGGGUGAAAGUGGGGGACCGCAAGGCCUCAUGCUAUAGGAGCGGCCGAUGUYUGAUUAGCUAGUUGGUGGGGUAAAGGCCCACCAAGGCGACGAUCAGUAGCUGGUYUGAGAGGACGAUCAGCCACACUGGGACUGAGACACGGCCCAGACUCCUACGGGAGGCAGCAGUGGGGAAUUUUGGACAAUGAGCGAAAGCCUGAUCCAGCAAUGCCGCGUGUGUGAAGAAGGCCUUCGGGUUGUAAAGCACUUUUGUCCGGAAAGAAAUGGCUYUGGUUAAUACCUGGGGUCGAUGACGUACCGAGAUUGUUGUC
rnacentral:rRNA from 1 species